UUCACAAGCUGGGUUAUAGAAGUGAAAUGGUUUCUGCCUUCUCUUUCGGGGACCCACCUGAAGCUGCCAUGCUGGGAAGACCAUGUGGUGAGAUCAGAGAGAAAUGGAGAAAGAAGCUUAAGGAGUGCUUGUUGUUUUGUUCCCCAGCUGUUGGAGUCUUCCCAACUGAAAUGCCAGAUGUAUGGAUUAACAAGCCAACAGGAAACAGAGCUCCCAGACUGACUCCAUCAGCUGGGGAUGAGUAGAGAACAGAGGCAGAAGCUGAGGCUUAGUCAGAUCAAGCAACAUGCCCAAGAUCACACUGCUAGAACGUGGCAGGACCAUCAUGGGAAUCCAGGUUUCGUGGAGAGAAGCAGACAUUUUCCUCCUCCCCAGAGGUGUCCGGCGAACACUUUUGGUAUCGAGUUAGAGUAAUUGUGAGGACACGAUUCUGCAGAAUUGCACUUGUUCCCCGUUCCUGGCCUCCACCACAUCAAUACUGCAAAGAAUUUGGUUCCAUGGCUUUGUCAAUUUUUUUCAGCCAGAAAAAUGUUCCACCAUGUGUCUUUUUUUCUUUUUCUGAAGCGACUGCAGAGUUAUAAUUUACUGGCAUGUAGAGAAAAGUGGAUUUUUUUUCAUUGCUAUUCCAUUUUCCCCCUCCUUUGGGAUUCUUGGGAAAACCUGAUUAAAAUGUCAGCCAGAAGAAUGGCUGGUGAUUCUUUAAAAGAACUGAUUAAACCAGGAUGACCCAAAGCACUAACAGGAGAAGAAAACCCUAUGGGGAUCUGAGUAUGUAACUUUCUAGUUAUUGGAGUAUAGAAAAAAAAAAGUAGGAAAGAAAGAAGUAAAAGAAGUAAGAAGCUUUGCUAGAGAAGAAGGGCGAUAUUAAAAUUAUUAAGAUUAACAAUGGUAAUAAUAAACUCCACUUGAUUAAUUUCUGUUUCAGGCUCUGUACGAAGACCUUAUAUCCAAAAUUCAGACUCUUCAAGAAGAAAGAGAGGAACCAGGUGCAGAAGUGGAACAUGAAAGUCGACGUGGAACGUGACCGCUGAAGCACAGCAUCAUGUAGAGACAAUUAAGACCCUGGAUGUCCGAGGGCGUCCCUGACAGAUCACAAGAGCUUGGAAGAGCAGAGUUUUCUCCUGACUCCACUGAGGAAGGAGACAUCUUGGCCACCUUGGACGUCUCCUUCCCUAGCUGGCUAAACAGCGGGCACUUUCACAGCUGAGGCGCACUCCGGCAGCCCUUAUGUGGGCGUGACAGAGGACUUAGAGCAUCUUGCCUUAGGGUUACCUCUUUUCCAAUGCCACUUCAGUUCCAUACUUCAUGACCUCAGACUUAUUAGUAAAAUUAAAGAUUAUA